AUGGCAGAAGCUGUUGUCGGGAAGCUCGUGGUCAUGCUUGGCGCGGCGCUGGCGAAAGAGGCGGUCAUCUUGGGCCGGGCGCUGCUCGGCAAGGAAGCCACCGCCCUCAGGGGCCUCUUCAGCAACAUCCGUAGGUCCAAGGCGGAGCUGGAGAGCAUGCAAGCGUACCUGCAGGAGGCAGAGCGGUUCAAGGACACCGACCAGACCACCGCCAUCUUCGUCGGCGAGAUAAGGGGCCUGGCCUUCCGGAUCGAGGACGUCGUUGACGAGUUCAUCUAUAAGCUGGAGGACUGCAAGCAUGGAGGGUUCGCUGGCAAGAUGAGGAAGCGGCUGAAGCAUAUCAAGGCAUGGCGGUGUCUGGCAGCCAAGCUCCAAGAAAUUGAAGCCCAGCUGCAGGAUGCCAACCGAAGGAAGAGAGAUUAUGCCGUCACUGGCAGAUCUGCUACUGCUGCCAGAUCGACGAAUCAAGUUCAAGCUUUGCACUUCACCAGGGAUGAGGACCUUGUGGGGAUCGAAGAGCACAAGGAGAGGUUGAUACGGUGGCUGACAGGCAGUGGUGAUGGUCCGGAGCAGAGCAGCAGCAAAGUCACCAUGGUUUGGGGGAUGCCUGGUGUUGGUAAAACCACUCUGGUUGAUCAUGUGUACAACACCAUGAAAGAGGACUUUGACGUGGCGGCAUGGGUAACUGUGUCAGAAAGUUACCGUAUUGAGGAUCUGCUGAAGAAGAUCGCCUCCCAGUUCAGCAUCACAGUCGACAUUGCCAACAUUGAGGUGAGAGGCCUAGCAAAGUCCAUCCACAACUACCUUCAAGGUAAAAGGUACAUCUUGGUCCUAGAUGAUGUUUGGGAUGAGCGCUUGUGGUCGGAGAUAAGGGAUAUCUUCCCAACAUCUAACUGUAUCGGCCGAGUUGUUAUGACAUCAAGAAAGCAGACAGUGCUGGCAACUAGGGAGUCUGCAUAUGCAAUUCACUUAGAACCACUACAAGCACAUCACUCAUGGGUGUUGUUCUGCAAACGGGCAUUUUGGAAUGAUGAUGACAAAAAGUGCCCGCUAGAGCUGCAGGAAUUGGCUUGGAAGUUCAUAGCAAAGUGUCAAGGUUUUCCUAUUGCUAUUGCGUGCAUUGGGCGCCUACUCUCCUGCAAACCCCAAAAUUCCGCUGAAUGGGAGGAUGUGUACAUGUGUUUGGAUUCGCAGUUUGCGAAAGAAGUGAUUCCUGAUGCUCAUUUAAUCCUAAAGGUAAGCUUGGAGGACCUUCCAUGUGAUUUGAAGAAUUGUUUCUUACACUGUGCAUUGUCCCCAGAAGAUUAUGUAUUAAAGAGGAGGAAGACAAUGAGGCAGUGGAUCACGGCAGGGUUUAUCACGGAAAAAGAUGAGAGCAAAACAUUGGAGGAAGUGGCAGAGGGAUACUUGGUUGAGCUUGUGAACCGAAGCCUAUUACAGGUAGUGCUAAGGAAUUAUGCCGGACGACUAAAACACUGUCGGAUGCAUGAUGUGAUACGACUUCUUGCCCUCGACAAAGCCAAGGAAGAAUGCUUCGGUAAAGUUUAUAAUUUCUCUGGUGGUACUAGGGCAUUCUCUUUAGAGGGUGCACGUCGCAUAUCAGUCGUCUUGGGAAACAUUGAACAACUGAGCCUAUCUGGUGCAACACAGCUUCGUGCGCUCCAUGUAUUUGAGAAGUAUUUCAAUGUUGAUUUUCUGAAGCCUGUCCUAACAACUUCAAAUUUGAUGUCAACGUUGGAUCUACAAGGUACUUGUAUCAAAAUUCUGCCCAAUGAGAUAUUCGAUUUGUUUAAUCUGCGUUAUUUGGGUCUUAGAGAUACCGAGAUUGAAAGCCUUCCUGAAGCACUGGGGAGGCUGCAGAACUUGGAAGUCUUGGAUGUUAUGAGUUCUAAGUUGACGUAUUUGCCAAACAGUGUGGUAAAGCUUCAGAAGUUGAGAUACCUGUAUGCGUGCACUACCACCAUAUCAGAAACUUUAACAAUAGGCGGAGUCAAGGUGCCUAAUGGGAUGCAGCACAUGGCAGGACUGCGGUCUCUUCAGUCCAUUAAAGCCACUCCAGAGUUUCUGCAUGAAGUUGGAGCUCUAACAGAGCUAAGAACAUUCAGCAUUUGCAAUGUGAGAAGUGGACACUCUGCUGACUUGAGCAGUGCUAUCACCAAAAUGAGCCGUCUUGCUCAUCUUGAAAUUAUAGCUGCAGCUGAGGAUGAGGUGCUGCGGCUUGAAGGUGUUGCAGCUGGGGAUGAGGUGCUGCGGCUGGAAGGGCUAUAUUUACCUCCAACCCUUUCAAGGCUUGGUUUAGCGGGGCAGCUAGAAAAAACAUCGAUGCCUCAUCUUUUCUCUUCUUGGUCACACCUUAAUAGCCUCACUCGGUUGGACCUGGCAUUCUCCAAUAUUGAUGAGCAAACCUUUUCCUGUCUUUGUCAAUUACAUGGUCUAUGCUCUCUUCUGCUAUGGAAUGCUUUCGAAGGGAAGAGGUUGGAUUUUUAUGCAGGGUCAUUUCCAGAACUUCGGCAUCUAGACAUAUGUGGCGCGGCACAGCUCAGCCAAGUUGGAAUAGAGGAGGGCGCGAUGCAAAACCUCGUUGAGCUAUGGUUCGGAGACUGUCCUGACCUAAGGUUUCUUCCUGAUGGUAUCAAACAUCUUGCAGCCCUUGAGAAAUUAGUUCUAAAAGACACAUCAGAAGAGCUGAUAGAGAAGCUCCGGCAGGAGAGAGAUUCAGAUGAAUGCAACGAUGAUUUAAUGAAGAUUAGCCACAUAAGGAAUGUUACGGUUGCCCUGAUGCAGAAAGGACUUGUCGAAAGGAUUAGGUGA
rnacentral:rRNA from 1 species